rnacentral:misc_RNA from 1 species
GAUGAAGAACGCAGCGAAAUGCGAUAAGUAAUGUGAAUUGCAGAAUUCAGUGAAUCAUCGAAUCUUUGAACGCACAUUGCGCCCCUUGGUAUUCCGAGGGGCAUGCCUGUUCGAGCGUCAUUAUAACCCCUCAAGCUCAGCUCGGUGUUGGGGCCUGCCGCACGGGCAGCCCUUAAAAUCAGUGGCGGUGCCAUCUGGCUCUAAGCGUAGUAAUUCUUCUCGCUAUAGAGUCCCGGUGGAUGCUUGCCAUUAACCCCCAAUUUUCUAUGGUUGACCUCGGAUCAGGUAGGGAUACCCGCUGAACUUAAGCAUAUCAAUAAGCGGAGGA